rnacentral:rRNA from 1 species
UACGGAGGGUGCGAGCGUUAUCCGGAAUUAUUGGGCGUAAAGGGCGCGUAGGCGGCCUGGCAAGUGGAAGGUGAAAUCCCUCGGCUUAACCGAGGAACUGCCCUCCAAACUGCUUGGCUUGAGUCCGGGAGAGGUGAGUGGAAUUCCCAGUGUAGCGGUGAAAUGCGUAGAUAUUGGGAGGAACACCAGUGGCGAAGGCGGCUCACUGGACCGGAACUGACGCUGAGGCGCGAAAGCGUGGGGAGCAAACAGG